rnacentral:rRNA from 1 species
UACGUAGGGUGCGAGCGUUGUCCGGAAUUACUGGGCGUAAAGAGCUCGUAGGUGGUUUGUCGCGUUGUUCGUGAAAACCGGGGGCUUAACCCUCGGCGUGCGGGCGAUACGGGCAGACUAGAGUACUGCAGGGGAGACUGGAAUUCCUGGUGUAGCGGUGGAAUGCGCAGAUAUCAGGAGGAACACCGGUGGCGAAGGAGGGUCUCGGGGCAGUAAAUGACGAUGAGGAGCGAAAGCGUGGGGAGCGAACAGG